CGCCAUGACUCGGAUAGGGACACCCAGAAUGAUCGGUUGAGAUACAGACCGUCUCCUCACUGACGCCCCAGUGCCAAACUAAGAGUCAGAAGUAUGGAUCAUACUGAGCUUCAGGAAAAGUUUGUAUAGUCUUGCACUGGAUGAAGGGAACUCAGAGUACUCUGCUGCUUGGCUGCUACAAAUUCUCUGGUGGACUGGGAGAAAGACUGAGGCCACUAGCAACCCAGGAUCCAAAAUUGGCAGUAGUCCUGCCCCAGAACAGUGGACCAGGAUUACAGAAGAAACUGAGGAAAGGAACAGACAGUGUUUAUGUCUAGUAUACAUAAAGUGGUCCCACUGGGACCCAGUAGCUGGUCCCACUAAUGGGAAGGGGACCUGCUGUGACAACAGUAUCAGAACAUUAAUCAUCGUUAGUGCUUCAGUAAAUGAUUAAGGAAGGAAUCUUGCCUUGAGAUGUAAUGACUUGCAUUUGCACUGCUGGGCUGUUUCCACAGGAAGUAAAAUUAAAGUUCCACCCUAAUUAAACUGUUUCUUGCCUCUUGUUUUUCCUGCAGUCCAGAGAGCACUGCACUGCAAGCCCUGGUGUAGAGAAUAAGCCAGUGGCUAUGAACAAAGGCUUGAGUGGUAAGAAAGAGAGAGUUGCAACAGACAUAGAUGAACAGAUUUUGCAACUGGGCUGCAUCAUCAGUCUCUCACCUAUCUGGAGACACAGAAGAGGAUCUGCCCUUUCAAAUGCACCCUGGGCUUGAAGUUCAUUUUUUAGAAAAGUAAUGUUCCUUCUCCUGUACUCUAGGUUGCUAGCAUUACACAACUAUCUUUGAGGCUGGUAUGAACAACUGGCCACAGGACUAUACAGGAUAUGGCAACUGUCACAAUAUUUUCUCAAGGGAUAUUUUGUAAGGUGAAACCAGUAUGCUCUCAUGACCAAAUAUUAGUCUGUUUUCCUAUUAAUGUCUCAAAAAUCCCACACCUCAGAUUAUGUAAUACUUACCAUUAGCCCAUUACUCCUGGGCAAGAAUUAUAGUCACUCCAAAAUCUCUGUUUUUCUGCAAAUCAGAUGACAAAUGAAAAUAUUUUACAUAUC